UGGGGAAUCUUGCGCAAUGGUCGAAAGACUGACGCAGCGACGCCGCGUGUGGGAGGACGCCUUUCGGGGUGUAAACCACUGUUGCCCGGGACGAAACGGUCGAUUCAUCGACCCUGACGGUACCGGGUGAGGAAGCACCGGCUAACUCCGUGCCAGCAGCCGCGGUAAUACGGAGGGUGCGAGCGUUGUCCGGAAUCAUUGGGCGUAAAGGGCGCGUAGGUGGCCCAGUAAGCGUGCGGUGAAAGCUCGGGGCUCAACCCCGGGUCGGCCGUGCGAACUACUGGGCUGGAGCACUGUAGAGGCAGGCGGAAUUCCGGGUGUAGCGGUGGAAUGCGUAGAGAUCCGGAAGAACACCGGUGGCGAAGGCGGCCUGCUGGGCAGUUACUGACACUGAGGCGCGACAGCGUGGGGAGCAAACAG
rnacentral:rRNA from 1 species